UACGAAGGGGGCUAGCGUUGUUCGGAUUUACUGGGCGUAAAGCGCACGUAGGCGGAUCGUUAAGUCAGGGGUGAAAUCCUGGGGCUCAACCCCAGAACUGCCUUUGAUACUGAGAAGCUUGAGUCCGGGAGAGGUGAGUGGAACUGCGAGUGUAGAGGUGAAAUUCGUAGAUAUUCGCAAGAACACCAGUGGCGAAGGCGGCUCACUGGCCCGGUACUGACGCUGAGGUGCGAAAGCGUGGGGAGCAAACAGG
rnacentral:rRNA from 1 species